UGGGAUAUUCUUAAGAAAUUUUGCACAAAAGGAGUCGCCACUAGCCUAUUGGGGUCGGCUAGAAACCAAGCGAGGCAUGGGAGUGUACCUCACUUCCUACGCAACCAGAGAAUCUAAGUUCAGGGACUUGAUUACACUAAUUAACCAAUUAGUGCCCUUUCGGUACCUAAUCUUAUUCAUUUUAACAAAAUGAUUUUUGGCAAGCAGUUUGAAUUAAUUUUAUACUUAUCCACUAACAUGUGAGGUGAUCAUGCAGGUGCGCAAUCAUUAAAGUAA
rnacentral:lncRNA from 1 species